AGGAGCCCAAUUUUUGGGAGCCCCACAUCUGUCCGAGGGUUAUAUCCGUCUGUCCAUUCCAGAGGAACCCCUCGGCCCUGGACGGAAUUUGUCCACUGAGAGGAGGUCUCGAG